AUGAACGCUGGCGGCGUGCCUAAUACAUGCAAGUCGCGCUAACAGAUGAGGAGCUUGCUCCUCUGACGUUAGCGGCGGACGGGUGAGUAACACGUGGAUAACCUACCUAUAAGACUGGGAUAACUUCGGGAAACCGGAGCUAAUACCGGAUAAUAUAUUGAACCGCAUGGUUCAAUAGUGAAAGACGGUUUUGCUGUCACUUAUAGAUGGAUCCGCGCCGCAUUAGCUAGUUGGUAAGGUAACGGCUUACCAAGGCAACGAUGCGUAGCCGACCUGAGAGGGUGAUCGGCCACACUGGAACUGAGACACGGUCCAGACUCCUACGGGAGGCAGCAGUAGGGAAUCUUCCGCAAUGGGCGAAAGCCUGACGGAGCAACGCCGCGUGAGUGAUGAAGGUCUUCGGAUCGUAAAACUCUGUUAUUAGGGAAGAACAAAUGUGUAAGUAACUAUGCACGUCUUGACGGUAUCUAAUCAGAAAGCCACGGCUAACUACGUG
rnacentral:rRNA from 1 species